UCGAAUAGCACAUUGGCACUUGAUGUUUUCUUUUAUUUAUUUCCAAUUGGAACUUCAACUUUUAAAGUUGGCACAAAUCACCUAUUAUCGUAUAGUCUAAGCUUUCAUUACAGCUCUUAUGAACAAUACAAAAAUAUCUCUCACUAACAUUUAUAUAAAAAAAUCAAAUCAAUUUAAUUGGCUCAUCGUUGCUGAGUGCCUGUCGUCAUUGAAACAACAAAAACAACAACAUCGUCAUCCUCGUGUUAUCAGUUCAUCAGCAACACUGCAACAGUAGGAACCGAAAUUGAGUCGCGUGUUGGGGCCUCCUUCUCCAGCGAGUUAUGACGUCUUAUUCUCCUUCUCCUUCUCCUCGUCGCCUCAGCGUCUGGUCUCUAUUAUAGCUGUUAACGAAAUCCGUCAACUCCAGCAAUGAUUGAUUAAGAGUGGGUUUUGAUUUUUCGGAAUAAGCUUCAGAUUAGUGGUAAUAACAGCAUCUCAAACUUCUGUUAGUUUUAGAUGACAUGGAUGUGUGAGACUAUUCUUACAGUGGACAAAUAAUAAAGACAUCAUAUAUUGCACAAGGGACAUACUUUCUUGCUAAU
rnacentral:lncRNA from 1 species